rnacentral:tRNA from 1 species
GCGGGAGUAGCUCAGUGGUAGAGCGUCAGCCUUCCAAGCUGAGGGUCGCGGGUUCGAGCCCCGUCUCCCGCUCCA